CCCUUAGAUGUUCUGGGCCGCACGCGCGCUACGCUGACGGAUUCAACGAGCUUACAACCUUGGCCGAAAGGUCUGGGUAAUCUCCAAAAUCCGUCGUGAUGGGGAUAGAUUAUUGCAAUUAUUAAUCUUCAACGAGGAAUGCCUAGUAAGCGCAAGUCAUCAGCUUGCGUUGAUUACGUCCCUGCCCUUUGUACACACCGCCCGUCGCUCCUACCGAUUGAAUGGUCCGGUGAAGCGUUUGGACUAUGGUUUUCUGAUGGUCCGCCGUUGGAUUACCGUGGGAAGUUCGUUAAACCUUAUCAUUUAGAGGAAGGAGAAGUCGUAACA
rnacentral:rRNA from 1 species